UACGGGGGGGCAAGCGUUGUUCGGAAUUACUGGGCGUAAAGGGCUCGUAGGCGGCCAACUAAGUCAGACGUGAAAUCCCUCGGCUUAACCGGGGAACUGCGUCUGAUACUGGAUGGCUUGAGUUCGGGAGAGGGAUGCGGAAUUCCAGGUGUAGCGGUGAAAUGCGUAGAUAUCUGGAGGAACACCGGUGGCGAAGGCGGCUCACUGGCCCGGUACUGACGCUGAGGUGCGAAAGCGUGGGGAGCAAACAGG
rnacentral:rRNA from 1 species